rnacentral:rRNA from 1 species
GAUGAACGCUGGCGGCGUGCCUAAUACAUGCAAGUCGAGCGAACAGAUAAGGAGCUUGCUCCUUUGACGUUAGCGGCGGACGGGUGAGUAACACGUGGGUAACCUAACUAUAAGACUGGGAUAACUUCGGGAAACCGGAGCUAAUACCGGAUAACAUUUGGAACCGCAUGGUUCUAAAGUGAAAGAUGGUUUUGCUAUCACUUAUAGAUGGACCCGCGCCGUAUUAGCUAGUUGGUAAGGUAACGGCUUACCAAGGCGACGAUACGUAGCCGACCUGAGAGGGUGAUCGGCCACACUGGAACUGAGACACGGUCCAGACUCCUACGGGAGGCAGCAGUAGGGAAUCUUCCGCAAUGGGCGAAAGCCUGACGGAGCAACGCCGCGUGAGUGAUGAAGGGUUUCGGCUCGUAAAACUCUGUUAUUAGGGAAGAACAAACGUGUAAGUAACUGUGCACGUCUUGACGGUGCCUAAUCAGAAAGCCACGGCUAACUACGUG